rnacentral:rRNA from 1 species
GAUGAACGCUAGCGAUAGGCUUAACACAUGCAAGUCGAGGGGCAGCACAAGGUAGCUUGCUAUCUGGGUGGCGACCGGCGCACGGGUGCGUAACGCGUAUGCAACUUUCCCUAUACAGGAGGAUAACCCGUCGAAAGACGGACUAAUACUGCGUAUGCUCACAACUUGGCAUCAAGUGGUGAGGAAAGAAAUUCGGUAUAGGAUAGGCAUGCGUCCCAUUAGCUUGUUGGUGAGGUAACGGCUCACCAAGGCAACGAUGGGUAGGGGAACUGAGAGGUUUAGCCCCCACACUGGUACUGAGAAACGGACCAGACGCCUACGGGAGGCAGCAGUGAGGAAUAUUGGUCAAUGGGCGCGAGCCUGAACCAGCCAAGUCGCGUGAAGGAUGACUGUCUUAUGGAUUGUAAACUUCUUUUAUACGGGAAUAACAAGAGUCACGUGUGACUCCCUGCAUGUACCGUAUGAAUAAGCAUCGGCUAACUCCGUG